UACGUAGGGUGCAAGCGUUGUCCGGAUUUAUUGGGCGUAAAGAGCUCGUAGGCGGUCUGUCGCGUCGGAUGUGAAAACCCAGGGCUCAACCCUGGGCCUGCAUUCGAUACGGGCAGACUAGAGUACGGCAGGGGAGACUGGAAUUCCUGGUGUAGCGGUGAAAUGCGCAGAUAUCAGGAGGAACCCCGGUGGCGAAGGCGGGUCUAUGGGCCGUAACUGACGCUGAGGAGCGAAAGCGUGGGGAGCGAACAGG
rnacentral:rRNA from 1 species